CGCUCCAGGGCUCCCCAGCUUCUACAUAGAAUUGUUAAAAAUAAAGAGCAACAUAGAACUAGAUACAUUUUGACCAACAUGCCAUAUCCAAGUCUGCUAUGGACAAUCACAUUCUCCAUCUUCCUAGGAAUCAGCAUAGCCCAAGUCACUCAGUUACCACCAGCAAUGUCUGGAAAGGAAGGAGAAGAUGUGACUCUCAACUGCAAGUAUGAGACCAGGGACAGUAAUUAUGUUUUGUCUUGGUACAAACAGCCUUCCAGCGGGGAGAUGAUUUUACUCAUUCGCCAGGAAGUUUAUAACAAAAUGAACGCAAGGAUCAAUCGAUAUUCAGUGAACUUCCAGAAAUCGGACAAAUCUAUCAGUCUUACCAUCUCAGCCUUACAGUUGGGAGACUCAGCGAUAUAUUUCUGUGCUUUACAAGAGCCCACAGAAGGUGAAGUGACUGAAGGAGAUAUACAGAAACACCAGUCCUUAGCAUGACUUCCACCUGCUACUGGGGGCCCAGAGAGAGACAUUCAAACCCCAACAGGAAGGCAGCGCAGAGAGAAUCUCAAAAUAAAAACCAUUUCAUUCUAAGAAAAAAAAAAACUCAUAACUGGCUUCAGAGAAAAAGUUCUAUAAACCACAUUCCUCAAGAGCAUUCUUGAACCACAAUGCCUUUGGUACAAGAGAACUUAUGAGAAAAUUGCUUCUGCCAAUUUAGAUUGGCAACCUUUCUGAAACUUAACU